AGAAUCAACGCUGGCGGCGUGCCUAACACAUGCAAGUAGAACGAGAAAGUGGAGCAAUCCAUGAGUAAAGUGGCGACCGGGUGAGUAACACGUGACUAACCUACCUUCGAGUGGGGGAUAACCUCGGGAAACCGAGGCUAAUACCGCAUAACAUCGCAAGAUCAAAGCAGCAAUGCGCUGGAAGAGGGGGUCGCGGCUGAUUAGCUAGUUGGCGGGUAACGGCCCACCAAGGCGAAGAUCGGUA
rnacentral:rRNA from 1 species